GCCGCGUCCGCCCGCCCGCCCGCCAGUAUGGCCACCACCGCCACCUGCACCCGCUUCACCGACGACUACCAGCUUUUCGAGGAGCUCGGCAAGGGUGCCUUCUCGGUGGUCCGGAGGUGCGUGAAGAAAACGUCCACGCAGGAAUAUGCCGCAAAAAUCAUCAAUACCAAGAAGUUGUCUGCCCGAGAUCAUCAGAAACUAGAACGAGAGGCCCGGAUAUGCCGACUUCUGAAACAUCCAAACAUCGUGCGUCUCCAUGACAGUAUUUCUGAAGAAGGGUUUCACUACCUCGUGUUUGACCUUGUUACGGGAGGGGAGUUGUUUGAAGACAUCGUGGCCAGAGAAUACUACAGCGAAGCUGAUGCCAGCCACUGUAUACAUCAGAUCCUGGAGAGCGUCAACCACAUCCACCAGCAUGACAUCGUCCACCGGGACCUGAAGCCUGAGAACUUGCUGCUGGCGAGUAAAUGCAAGGGUGCUGCGGUCAAGCUAGCUGAUUUUGGCCUGGCCAUCGAAGUGCAGGGAGAGCAGCAGGCUUGGUUUGGUUUUGCUGGCACCCCAGGUUACUUGUCCCCUGAGGUCCUGAGGAAAGAUCCCUAUGGAAAACCUGUGGAUAUCUGGGCCUGCGGGGUCAUCCUGUAUAUCCUCCUGGUGGGCUACCCUCCCUUCUGGGAUGAGGAUCAGCACAAGCUCUAUCAGCAGAUCAAAGCUGGAGCCUACGAUUUCCCAUCACCAGAAUGGGACACGGUCACUCCUGAAGCUAAGAACUUGAUCAACCAGAUGCUGACCAUAAACCCUGCAAAGCGUAUCACAGCUGACCAGGCUCUCAAGCACCCAUGGGUCUGUCAACGGUCAACAGUGGCAUCCAUGAUGCAUCGCCAAGAGACAGUGGAGUGCUUACGCAAGUUCAACGCCCGGAGAAAACUGAAGGGUGCCAUCCUCACAACUAUGCUUGUCUCCAGGAACUUUUCAGUUGGCAGGCAGAGCUCCGCCCCCGCCUCGCCUGCCGCGAGCGCCGCCGGCCUGGCCGGGCAAGCUGCCAAGAGCCUAUUGAACAAGAAGUCAGAUGGCGGCGUCAAGAAAAGGAAGUCGAGUUCCAGCGUGCACCUAAUGCCACAGAGCAACAACAAAAACAGUCUCGUAAGCCCAGCCCAAGAGCCCGCGCCCUUGCAGACGGCCAUGGAGCCACAAACCACCGUGGUACAUAAUGCUACAGAUGGGAUCAAGGGCUCCACAGAGAGCUGCAACACCACCACAGAAGACGAAGAUCUCAAAGCUGCCCCGCUCCGCACUGGGAAUGGCAGCUUGGUGCCUGAAGGACGGAGCCCCCGGGACAGAACAGCCCCCUCUGCAGGCAUGCAGCCCCAGCCUUCUCUCUGCUCCUCAGCCAUGCGAAAACAGGAGAUCAUUAAGAUCACAGAACAGCUGAUCGAAGCCAUCAACAAUGGGGACUUUGAGGCCUACACGAAGAUUUGUGACCCAGGCCUCACUUCCUUUGAGCCAGAAGCCCUUGGUAACCUCGUGGAGGGGAUGGAUUUCCAUAAGUUUUACUUUGAGAAUCGUGAGUGGUCCUGUCCAAGAACAGCAAGCCUAUCCACACCACCAUCCUAAACCCACAUGUCCAUGUCAUCGGCGAGGACGCAGCUUGCAUCGCCUACAUCCGGCUCACCCAGUACAUCGAUGGGCAGGGUCGGCCUCGCACCAGUCAGUCAGAGGAGACCCGGGUGUGGCACCGCCGGGAUGGCAAGUGGCUCAAUGUCCACUAUCACUGCUCAGGAGCCCCUGCUGCACCGCUGCAGUGAGCUCAGGCACAGGGGCAUUAGGAGAUUCCAGCUGGAGGCUGAACCUUCGAAGCCAGUGACUCUGGAGGGCCUGAGUGACAGCCGCGGUCCUGUCCGUUUGAGGUUUAAAACAAUUACAUUACAAAGCGGCAGCAGCCAAUGCACGCCCCUGCAUGCAGCCCUCCCGCCCGCCCUUCGUGUCUGUCUCUGCUGUACCGAGGUGUUUUUUACAUUUAAGAAAAAAAAAGAAAAUAAGAUUGUUUUAAAAAAAAAAAUGGAAUUCAUACCAUGAUGCGUUUUAAAACAACUGAUAGCCUUUGGGCUUGAAGAAGGCAGGAGUUUGUAUGAUGCUCAUCCAGGCGUGGACAGAGGGCUCACCCACUGGCUUUGAAGAGGUGAGCUUGGCCUCAGGCCCCCAUGGACUCGGGGGGGACCAGGCAAGGACUCUUGACAGAGCUUUGGUCAUGGACAGAGCCAUGGUGUGGUUGCAGCCCAGUGGUGACCUGAUCACCCCAGGUCUAGGAGUGGACUUCUUCAGAAUAUACAUUGACAUCUAGUAUGAGAAAGAAGAAAACGCCAUGGCUAACAGACCUACUUGGGAGAGAACUCAGCGCUCCCAGCCCGCUGUGGAGGCAACUGUGAAGCGUGGCCUCGGGACUGAAGGCCUGGACUUUGCCGUACCGUUCCAGUUAGUGUAGACAGGAAGAGAAUUGGUGCUGCAGAAGUGUGUCCGACACAGAGCCGGUGUGAAACCUCGCGUUAGUCUGACACGCACUUACUCAUCCAUUUCUAUAGGAUGCACAAUGCACGUGGGCCUGAGACUGAGGCCUGAUUUCUGCAGGCGGGAAGGGGGUGGGAUUGCUACUUUGUUUCCUGUUGGUUUUCCUAAUGUAUCAAGGAGAGAUCCAGACAUCCUUGGCCAGGGCUCCUGUUGCCACUUUCGGCAGUUGUGUUUGUGUGCGGAUCUGGACCACUUUGUCUUAUAUUUUCAUGGCGGUGGUCCCCAUGCCGACCCUCUGCCAAGUGCCCCUGCAGGAUGGGAGGAGUGAGAUAAGAGUUGGUGGUUGUUUCUAUGCAUUCUGGCUGCCCUCUGGGCUGCCUCCCUUCUUCCCGUGCUGCACGUCCGUCUCUUUCCCUGGGUUUGAGAUUGAACCGACUGCUUGGGUGAGAAGUGUCCUCUUAAAUGAGGCUCUCUACCGACCAACUGAAGUAUAGACUUUUCUGCUGGACAAUCUGCAUGGGCAUCACCCCCUCACCUGCAUGUACCCAAAAAGGGGUCCAGAGCCAAGGCUCCUGUAGUCAUUGUCCCUCUCUGUGCUCAAGGAGUUCCUUUCCAGGAGGAAAAGAUCUGUACCUUAGGCAGAUAACAGAGAAGACAAUGGAGGAGCAAUUGGUCAUAGUCUUGGUUCCCUCCCACCCAACAGCUGCACACUAUUUGCAUUUUGGGGGGGAAAGGUGGGUUGAUUUCAGCUCUUUGGAUGACCUUCAGGGAGGCACAGGAGCUGGGAAAAGAUACAGAACUACAGACUUUGGAACCAGCUGAGAAGAGAACAAACUCAUGGGUGCUGGUGCUUGAAUUUAGCCAGGCUCCUCAAGCACCUUGUGCAUGCCUCAGACCCUGGACCCUAGCCCCUUCCUGCCCUGCAGCCUGCAGUGCCAGCCAACAGAUCCCUUCACCACAGGGUUUGGUUUUGCUGGCUUGAAGACAACAAAUGGUCUUAGAGCUCAUUGAGACCCAUAGCUUCAUAUGGCUGCUCCAGCCCCACUUAGCGUUCUUACUCCACUUCUGGGGCUAAUGUCAGCAUCUAUAGACGAUUAAUAGACUAUUUAAAAACAACAAACCACCUUUUAAACAGGAAAUGAAAGGCAUUUGAUGCAGAACUUUUGCAUGAUGACAUAGAAAUAAUUUAAAAAUAGUGUUUGUUCUGAAUGUUGGUAGUCCCUUCAUAGCUUUGUUACAAUGAAACCUUGAAGAUAUUUAAUAAAAUAACCUUUAAACAGUC